rnacentral:siRNA from 1 species
CUUGUGCUCAGCUUGUCUGGUUGA